AGUUCGGUCCCUAUCUGCCGUGGGUGUUCGAGACUUGCGAGGCUCUGUCCCUAGUACGAGAGGACCGGGAUGGACGUACCUCUGGUGGACCUGUUGUCGCGCCAGCGGCAUAGCAGGGUAGCUAUGUACGGAACGGAUAACCGCUGAAAGCAUCUAAGCGGGAAACCAGCCUCGAGAUAAGUUCUCCCUUGAGAGCCGUGGAAGACCCCCACGUUGAUAGGCCGGGUGUGGAAGUGUGGCGACACAUGAAGCUUACCGGUACUAAUUGCUCGAUUGGCUUGAUUGC
rnacentral:rRNA from 1 species